rnacentral:rRNA from 1 species
AAACCGUUCAGGGGUAAACCUGAGAAACCCGAAAGUUCGAAAGGAGAGAUUCAACGCGACUCGCGUCGUCGGCGUGGACGCAACGCGGACGUGUCCGACGGCCUCACGGUCGUUCGGUCGCGCCGUUUGCGUUCCGUUAGGACGUGCGAUCGCAUGCACUUCUCUCCCUGUAGGACGUCGCGACCCGUUGGGUGUCGGUCUACGAUCGACGGUGGAGUCCGCGAGGCGGUCGUCUUCAAAAACGAUUUCUUGUCCUCUCGAACCCGUCGCAUCUGGCCGACUCGCUCGACGGUAGUCAAUUAGGGCGCGGGGCCGCGAAUAGUUCGCGUCCGGCCCGUCGCAAGCAAGUUCGGUAAUUCGGUGUACUCGGCGGCCUUGCGUCUCCGGUCCCGGAUCCGGACUACUGUUCGCGGCGGUGUCCUCGGACAGACUCCGUAUACACGCCCGUCAGCGACGCUAUCGCUUUGGGUACUUUCAGGACCCGUCUUGAAACACGGACCAAGGAGUCUAGCAUGCACGCGAGUCUUCGGGACUCUUUAACUAAUCCUAAAGGCAAAAUGAAAGUGAAGGUCCGCCUUAGCGCGCGACCUAGGGAAGAUGAGUCGGUCGCGCGAGCGACCGGCUUCGCACUCCCGGGGCGUCUCGAUCUCAUCGCGAGAUGAGGCGCACCCAGAGCGUACACGCU